AGUCAUUGACAGCCAUUCAAAAUGCAAUGGACAGUAUGUAUACAAUGACUUGGAGGGGGGCAUUUCCCGUAUACUGUGUCAAAAUGAUGCUUUCAGGCGACAACACAGUACGGUCAGUUUGGAUGUCAACAUUGAUGGACUACCAAUCUUUAAAAGUAGCAAAAUCCAGUUCUGGCCAAUACUGGUGAAAUUUAACAAUUUCAAUCCAUUUAUUGUGGCAUUAUACUGUGGGGAAAGCAAGCCUGAGCCCCUUGAUGAGUAUCUCCAUGACUUUUUGGAGGAGUUCAAUAAUCUCCAACAGAAUGGCCUGGUGAUUCGUGACAAAAAGUAUGCAGUAAAUAUUCAUACCUUUGUUUGUGAUGCACCAGCAAGAGCAUAUUUAAAAUGCAUUAAAGGUCAUACUGCAUAUGACAGUUGUGAGAGGUGCCAAGUGAAAGGCCAGUAUGUUGAAAGAAGAGUCGUCUUCAAUCAGCUGACAUCCACCUUGCGCGCAGAUGAAGCAUUUAGUCAGAUAGAGUAUUCCCGCCAUCAAAAUGGGUCUAGCCCUUUAAUAGGGACCCAUAGUACUCAAAAAUACUGUCUCCUCACAGCUGUAUGCUCAUUUUGUGACAUUGACCGUGGCAGUAUCCAUCAUGCUGGACUCAGAUGACGGGACAAGAGCUGCCUAUUUGGAUUUUUCUUCUGAACUGAUGAGGCACUUUGUGUCUAGCUGCCCUGCACUCUAUGGAAAAACAUUUGCUGUGUACAAUGUGCAUGCCCUGUUACACAUCCAUGAAGAUGUCUCUCGUUUCAGAUGCUCUUUAAAUGACAUAUGUUGCUUUCCAUAUGAGAAUUAUUUGCAGCAGAUCAAAAGAUUGGUCAGGACUGGCCAAAAUCCAUUAGCGCAGGUGUCCAAACGACUGGUCGAAAUCGAACAUGCCCAGGGGAAUUCCAGUGCACAGUGUAAGGCGAAGCCCAAAAUGUACAUUUCAACAAAAAGGAGAGACGGCUGCUUCCUUUUGAAAGAUGAGAGGUUUGCUUUUGUUCAAGAGAGGAGGGGAGAUGUUACGGUUGUUUGCGAUGUGAUAAAACAGAGACACACUGUCGACCUGUUUGACAAACCAUGUCUGUCAAAGCUCUUGAACAUUGCUUACAUAGGGAAUAGCCGUAGAUUCAAAAGAAAAGAACUCAAGGAAGAAGACCACAGUCGAAAAGUAGCCUGUCUACCUUACAACAAUGGCUCUGUCAUGAUUCCUCUGCGGCAUGGCAUUGAACAUUCAUGUUGAAGAUUGGCAAGUCAAAAAGUUAUGCUUUUUGUCAGAGCCGUUUGGAAUGAAAAUGGGAAGGAAAUGGAGGGGACCAUCCCUGAUGCCUGAGUUAAUGUAGCUGAGAAAACCCUUCGGUGGCCAAAGACAAGGGCAAAAUAUUGUUUUGAAAACCAUGUGGCCCCUAAGGACGACUGGGAUACGUUCCCAUUGUUGAAAGUGAAAUUUACCGCAGAAAGUCUCCAUGAGUGUGAGGAAUAUGAUCAAACCAGCCAUGCUGAACAAAGAUGAAGACGAAGAGGUUAUAGUGCGAAAGAGGAUGAAAAAAACUAAAACUUCUGAAGAUUAUGUUGAAGGAUCUGACCUGUCUGAGGCGACUGCUGAGGGGGAGGAUAAAGAAGAGAGGAAAGGAGAUGCCAGUCCCGAAAUUCCAGUCUUUCCCACCCCACCAAUCAAAAUGUCAAAGAAUGGUUCACCCAGGUCUGUGGGCCAGGAAAAGUCAACUAGUCAGUUCCAGAAAAUCGUACUUACAAAGCUGGUGACUCUCACUGAUGAAGUCAGAAAACUGCAGAGGAGCGGACCUCAAUCUGGAAUUGAAAUAAAGAAGAUGGACACCUUGGAAGAGUUCCAGAGGGAGGAGGCUUCUCUUCUGAAACCACACAAAUUUGAAACCUUGGUUUGUCAGCUGGCAAGAGUGGGGGGAGAGAUGUUAAGGACUGCACGCACAAAGUGAUGGACAGGCUCUUCACCAAUCAACUAAUGACCCGAUUCAACAUGAAGGGGAAGAGCAAAAAAGACAAAAUACGAUUUGAAGACAAGACAUUGUUUUCAGCAAUAAAAGCUGCUGUCAUGAAAUGGGACGCCGCUGCAACAGAGACCCAAAUAAAGUCUGCUGCAGCCGAUCACCUGAAACAUGCCCCUGGGAGACUCGGGGGUGGUGGCUAUUAAUCUUGACUUUAGGAGCCACAUUUUGUUAAUUGUUAUGUUAUACUGUUUUAACGACAUUUUAUAGAUUCUUUAACUGUGUUAAUUUAUAAGUUUACUGUUCUGGCUGUGAAGUUUUGGUCCAGCAGAACAAAAUGGUAAUAAAAAUGUAGUUUGAGAAUUUUAA